rnacentral:rRNA from 1 species
GACGAACGCUGGCGGCGUGCUUAACACAUGCAAGUCGAACGAAGAGCGAUGGAAGCUUGCUUCUAUCAAUCUUAGUGGCGAACGGGUGAGUAACGCGUAAUCAACCUGCCCUUCAGAGGGGGACAACAGUUGGAAACGACUGCUAAUACCGCAUACGAUCUAAUCUCGGCAUCGAGGAUAGAUGAAAGGUGGCCUCUACAUGUAAGCUAUCACUGAAGGAGGGGAUUGCGUCUGAUUAGCUAGUUGGAGGGGUAACGGCCCACCAAGGCGAUGAUCAGUAGCCGGACUGAGAGGAGGAACGGCCACAUUGGGACUGGGACACGGCCCAGACUCCUACGGGAGGCAGCAGGGGGGAAUCUUCCGCAAUGGACGAAAGUCUGACGGAGCAACGCCGCGGGAGGGAAGACGGCCUUCGGGUUGUAAAGCUCUGUUAAUCGGGACGAAAGGCCUUCUUGCGAAUAGUGAGAAGGAUUGACGGUACCGGAAUAGAAAGCCACGGCUAACUACGUG